GACGAACGCUGGCGGCGUGCUUAACACAUGCAAGUCGAACGGAAAGGCCCUGCUUUUGUGGGGUGCUCGAGUGGCGAACGGGUGAGUAACACGUGAGUAACCUGCCCUUGACUUUGGGAUAACUUCAGGAAACUGGGGCUAAUACCGGAUAGGAGCUCCUGCUGCAUGGUGGGGGUUGGAAAGUUUCGGCGGUUGGGGAUGGACUCGCGGCUUAUCAGCUUGUUGGUGGGGUAGUGGCUUACCAAGGCUUUGACGGGUAGCCGGCCUGAGAGGGUGACCGGCCACAUUGGGACUGAGAUACGGCCCAGACUCCUACGGGAGGCAGCAGUGGGGAAUAUUGCACAAUGGGCGGAAGCCUGAUGCAGCAACGCCGCGUGCGGGAUGACGGCCUUCGGGUUGUAAACCGCUUUCGCCUGUGACGAAGCGUGAGUGACGGUAAUGGGUAAAGAUGCACCGGCUAACUACGUGCCAGCAGCCGCGGUGAUACGUAGGGUGCGAGCGUUGUCCGGAUUUAUUGGGCGUAAAGGGCUCGUAGGUGGUUGAUCGCGUCGGAAGUGUAAUCUUGGGGCUUAACCCUGAGCGUGCUUUCGAUACGGGUUGACUUGAGGAAGGUAGGGGAGAAUGGAAUUCCUGGUGGAGCGGUGGAAUGCGCAGAUAUCAGGAGGAACACCAGUGGCGAAGGCGGUUCUCUGGGCCUUUCCUGACGCUGAGGAGCGAAAGCGUGGGGAGCGAACAGGCUUAGAUACCCUGGUAGUCCACGCUGUAAACGGUGGGUACUAGGUGUGGGGUCCAUUCCACGGGUUCCGUGCCGUAGCUAACGCUUUAAGUACCCCGCCUGGGGAGUACGGCCGCAAGGCUAAAACUCAAAGGAAUUGACGGGGCUCCGCACAAGCGGCGGAGCAUGCGGAUUAAUUCGAUGCAACGCGUAGAACCUUACCUGGGUUUGACAUGGAUCGGGAGUGCUCAGAGAUGGGUGUGCCUCUUUUGGGGUCGGUUCACAGGUGGUGCAUGGCUGUCGUCAGCUCGUGUCGUGAGAUGUUGGGUUAAGUCCCGCAACGAGCGCAACCCUUGUUCACUGUUGCCAGCACGUUAUGGUGGGGACUCAGUGGAGACCGCCGGGGUCAACUCGGAGGAAGGUGGGGAUGACGUCAAGUCAUCAUGCCCCUUAUGUCCAGGGCUUCACGCAUGCUACAAUGGCUGGUACAGAGAGUGGCGAGCCUGUGAGGGUGAGCGAAUCUCGGAAAGCCGGUCUCAGUUCGGAUUGGGGUCUGCAACUCGACCUCAUGAAGUCGGAGUCGCUAGUAAUCGCAGAUCAGCAACGCUGCGGUGAAUACGUUCCCGGG
rnacentral:rRNA from 1 species